rnacentral:rRNA from 1 species
UCCAGACUCCUACGGGAGGCAGCAGUCGGGAAUAUUGCGCAAUGGAGGAAACUCUGACGCAGUGACGCCGCGUGCAGGAAGAAGGUUUUCGGAUUGUAAACUGCUUUAGACAGGGAAGAAAAAAGACAGUACCUGUAGAAUAAGCUCCGGCUAACUACGUGCCAGCAGCCGCGGUAAUACGUAGGGAGCGAGCGUUAUCCGGAAUUACUGGGUGUAAAGGGAGCGUAGGCGGGGAUGCAAGUUGGAUGUUUAAACUAUCGGCUCAACCGGUAAUUGCAACCAAAACUGCAACUCUUGAGUGAAGUAGAGGCAGGCGGAAUUCCUAGUGUAGCGGUGAAAUGCGUUGAUAUUAGGAGGAACACCAGUGGCGAAGGCGGCCUGCUGGGCUUUAACUGACGCUGAGGCUCGAAAGCGUGGGGAGCAAACAGGAUUAGAUACCCUCGUAU